rnacentral:rRNA from 1 species
AUGGCAACUCUAACCAGCCUUGCCUCAAACCCGAAUCCAAACAAGUCAUUCGAGGUCCUGCCUAAUCCUGGUGACUCGCUCUCAAGCCUCAGUUUUAGCCCGAAAAGUAAUCUUCUGGUGGCAACUUCCUGGGAUAACCAGGUGAGGUGUUGGGAGAUAGGUAAUGGUAACAGUCAGCCAAAGGCAUCCAUAUCACAUGAUCAGCCAGUGCUCUGCUCAGCCUGGAAAGAUGAUGGGACUACUGUCUUCUCUGGAGGGUGUGAUAAACAGGUCAAAAUGUGGCCUCUGCUAUCUGGUGGGCAGGCUCAGACGGUUGCAAUGCAUGAUGCACCUGUCAAGGAGGUCGCAUGGAUUUCUCAGAUGAAUCUUCUUGUCUCAGGAAGCUGGGACAAGACACUGAGGUAUUGGGACACAAGACAACCAAAUCCUGCCCAUGUUCAGCAACUUCCUGAUCGUUGCUACGCACUUGCUGUGAAUUAUCCCCUUAUGAUUGUGGGAACAGCUGAUCGCAAUAUUGUGAUCUUCAACUUGCAGAAUCCUCAGACUGAGUUUAAGCGUAUUCAAUCACCUCUGAAAUACCAGACACGGUGCGUUGCUGCCUUUCCAGAUCAACAAGGAUUCCUGGUGGGUUCCAUAGAAGGAAGAGUUGGUGUUCAUCAUAUUGAUGAUUCACAGCAAAGCAAAAACUUCACAUUCAAAUGUCACAGGGAAGGAAAUGAUAUUUUCUCUGUCAAUUCGCUCAACUUUCACCCUGUUCAUCACACGUUUGCCACAGCUGGAUCUGAUGGUGCUUUCAACUUUUGGGAUAAGGAUAGCAAGCAGAGACUUAAGGCUUUCAGUCGGUGUCCUCAACCCAUUCCUUGCAGUAGCUUCAAUAAUGAUGGCUCAAUAUUUGCUUAUGGGGUCUGCUAUGACUGGAGCCGUGGUGCUGAGAACCAUAAUCCUGCAAAUGCAAAGACAUCCAUCUAUCUCCACAGUCCCCAGGAAGCUGAGGUGAAAGGAAAGCCAAGAAUCGCAACAGGGCGGAAGUGA